GGGGCUGUAAUGGUUUCGACGGGAUUAUUAGAAUUUAAAUAGCAAGGCGCACUUAUGCGUUAAAUAAUCAGUUAAAUAUAACUGGAAACAAUAAUCAAUUAGCAUUUGCUUAGUUUAAAAUAGCAAAUAUUCCUUAAAGAUUUUAUCUACGAAUCUUUUCUGGAAUUCAUUUUGUAGAUUAUAUUACAAAUAUGUUUAGGGUUUGUAAUGAAUAUUACUAAACUAGUUAGAUUUAUGCUUGUUAAUUUGCUUAAAGUCUAAUGAAUUUAAUAAAUUAACUAAUCUUGUAGAAGUUUAUCUAUCUUUAAUUUCGGACGGGAGUUCGACUCUCCCCAGCUCCACCA
rnacentral:tmRNA from 1 species